GUCACUGCCAGGGUACGUCUUAUGAUUGAGCCCUGGUAGGUAGACACAGUACAGCUCACACACUCACACACACACGGCAGCGGAGACAGACAGCUGGGUGGUGGAAGACUUUCUUCCCUCAUUAAGAAGAAAAAACUCUUUUUUUGACCGACAAAUAUCAGCGGAUUUGUCUUGGGCUGCACUGUUUGUUGUUGGAAACGACUUCAGCCUACACAGUGACGCGUGAGAAAGAAAGACUGCAAAAACAGCCGAGCAUCUGCUAAUCCUCGAUUACAACGGGAGCCAUGGUGGCAGCAGUCCUUAAGUUGUAUUUUAUUGGAACUGCGCUGAGCGUCCUUGCGGUCAUUUUUGGAAUAGUGGACUCCUUUGGCGGAUUAAUGUACACCCAGGACCAUCACUACAUUUUGGACUUGGACCAACAGACACAGAGGCAGCUGUCCUCGAGCAACCACCGGAGAGGAUCGACUGUGACUAAAAACAUUGGCUCAUGAGGGGAAACAUCUGGCACGAUUUACACAAAAUGGCAGCAAUGGAUCAAGACAGUGAGACUACUGUACGUUUAUAAUCACUGGGGAUAACAAUUAUCCCGGAUUCUUCCAUCGCUAAAUAUGGACAUAAAUGUCAUGUCUGACUUGCUAUGCGUUUUGCAUUAGACAUGAUAUGGAUAAAUAAUCCCACAGCAUGGGUUUGUGUUUGCUCUACUCUGUAUGCUUUCAAACAAUGCAGCAGCUAGGAUGUGUUAAAGUGACUCCAAAUUGGAAGAGAAUUGUAACAUCACUACUGAACAAUGAUUUGCACUAAAAUGUGAAUGUUUUCUCUU